GCCAGGUGUGGUAGCUCACACCUGUAAUCCCAGCACUUUGGGAGGCUGAGAUGGAAGGAUUGCUUGAGGCCAGGAGUUCAAGACCACCCUGGCCAACACAGUAAGACUCCAUCUCUA
rnacentral:SRP_RNA from 1 species